AGCUUAUUCAAAGGGAGCACACUAAGAUUGGAACAAUACAGAGAAGAUUAGCAGGGCCCUGCAUAAGGAUGACACACAAAUUUGUGGAAAAUUCCAUAUUUUA
rfam:Cricetulus griseus cell line CHO-K1, whole genome shotgun sequence.